AUAUAUAUAAUACACAUCAUAUAUAUAAUUUAAUCAUAUAUAAAACAUUACAUAUGUAUAUAUAUCCUUGCAUGAUAUAUCUUAAUAUUAUAUCGAGAUCAAUAAACAAAUAAACAUCAUUAAUCUAGUAUUAGAUCUCAUGUGUUGAUAGGUUAAGAAUUAUACCCAGGAUUUCAUAUCACUCUAUAUAUUCAUUAGGUUAUGAUAUUUGCAACAUACAUUAUUAUUUAAUAUAUUAUUAUACUCCUACACAUUACAGAAAUCAAAUACGAGAAUAGGAACCAACCUAUAUGUUUUAUAAAAUUAUUUUAACAAUAAAAUUGAACGUAUAUUAGGCACUGUAUAUAUAAAAAUAUAUUGUUCGUCAUUGUGUGCAAAUGAAUAAGGAUAAUCAAAUAUAUAAUGUAGAAUUAAUUGCA